AUUAUCUAGGGAUCUUGUUAAAAUUCAGGUUCUGAUUCAGGUGGUCUGAGAUGUGGCCUGAGAUUCUGCAUUUCUAACAAGCUCCCCGAUGAUGCUGA
rnacentral:pre_miRNA from 1 species